AAUAAGAUUCAUAGAUUUGCAUCUGGAGUAUGUGAUGGCUUACAAAAUUUGAUCCUGCUUAAUCUGAACAACAAUCAGCUUACAUGGAUUCCUCAAGAAAUCAGCAGGAACUUUGUGAUCUUUUCAACCUAAGAAUCCUAGACAUAGCUGGAAAUGUUAUUCAGAUAUUUCCACCAGGAGUAAGUAGAGUCAACUUGAAAUAUAAUUGAAAAAUAAUUUUGUUUAUGCUAUUGGGAAUAGGAAAAAUAGGCAGCCAGUAAAACCUAUAGUAACUGGAACCUUGAAUUAUACAGAUAACUCAAAGAUUUGCUUUGUUCUGGAAUUUCAAGACCUGUUCUUUCCCAUUCCUUCCUUUGUGUUCUGCUUGUGUUCUUCCUUUGUGCCUGCUGAACUUGUUUGAACUGAGUGAACUCUGAUUGUUAUCAUAAAUAUUUUAAUAUACUAGCUAUGGUUAAGUGUUUUUUUUAAUCAUAUACUGUUUUUGGUCACCUCAGACUUUUUGAAAAUAUUACGUUCCAGAGCGUAUUUUUAUCCCUUGCAAUUAAUCCAAAAGAGACACUACUAUUAGUUGUUUUCAAGCCAUAAACAGUGAAAAAUGCACUUUUUUUCAUUUGGAGAUGAAUUUUGACUUUGCUUUAUUUCAAAUAACUGAGAAGCAGUUGGUCUUAGCAACUUUUAACUUCUGGGAAAGAAAAGGCAGUUUUUCAUGUUGGCAUGAGCAUGUUUCCACUGCAAGGUAAUAAUUAGAAGCCCAUCAAUCCACAAGGUAUUCAAUAAAUAGUUGUCAGUCCAUUAAUUACUUUUUCUGAUUGAUCAACACAAAAUUGAGAUUUCAGUCCUUUUUACCCACUGAGCAAUAUUUUACACUGAAGAUGACUCAAAUAGGAAAAAUGAGUGUAAUUUCUGUGUUUUAGAAAAAAUGUAGAGUUUUUUUUGUGGUAAAUUAUACAUAACAUAAAGUUUACCAUUUUAACCAUUUUUAAGUGUACAGAUCUGUGGCACUAUGUAUAUUCAUGUUGUUGCAUAACCAUCAUCACCACCUGUCUCCAGAAGUUUUCUAUCUUUUCAACUGAAACUGGACCUAUUAAACACUAUAACUUCCCAUGCCUCCCUCCCUCUAACACCUGGCAACCACCAUUCUACUUCUUGUCUCUAAGAAUUUGAGCACUCUAGGAAUCUCAUAUGAAUAGGAUCAUACAAUAUUUGUCCUUUUGUGACUGGCAUAUCUCGCAUAGUAUAAUGCCUUCAAAAUCUGUAUAUGUUAUAGCCUGUGUCAGAUUUCCCUCUUUUUAUGGCUGAAUAAUAUUCCAUUGUAUGUAUAUGCCACAUUUUGUAUAUUCAUUCAUCUGCCCAUGGACAAUUGGGUUGCUUCCUCCUUUUGGCUAUUGAGAAUAAUGCUGCUGUGAACAUGGGGUACAAAUAUCUGUUCAAGUCCCUACUUUCACUUCUUUUGGGUAUAUACCCAGCAGUGGAAUUGCUGAGUCAUAUGGUAAUUCCAUGUUUUAGUUUUUUUUAAGGAAUUGCCAAACUGUUUUCCAAAAGUACAGUUUUGAAUGUUUAAUAAGCACUGGAUGUUGUUAAUGUUGACCUGGUAAAUGAUGCAAGAUUUUUUUCAUCCUGCUACAAGAUAUUAUUCAUGUCUUAGUUCUCUUUUUCUGCCCUGUGAUGCCUUCUCUGGUUGCCAAAGCAGCCUUCUGAUGCUAAUUCUUCUCUGGUACCAUUAUAAUUUGUACAUACCACAAAGUAGAGUAAUUCUUUUUAAGUCUGUCUUCCCAUUAGACUGUAAUCUUACAGAGGAAAGGAGUACUCUUUUUAACCUUUAUACCUGCAGUGUCUUAAAUUUCAAUUGAAUAAAUGUUAAACAAAUAAAUAAAAAUAAUGUUCUUAAACUACAUUCAGUAUUUGCCUUCGUAGUGUCGUGAAUUCACAGUUUCUUCUACAGUGAUUCUGUACUUACAAUUUUGAUAAAACACCAUUAUUUAGAUCCCAUUAAUUUAGAGUAAUUUUGGCAGAAUCUGAGUUAGUAUCACCUUUGUAACAUCUAUUUCAGAAUUUUCUGAAAACUCUGAAGUAAGAUAUUCUGUGAAUUCAUCUGAGCUUUGGUCCAACUGGUUCAAGUUAAUAAAAUUUCCACAUUUUAUUAGAUGGGACAACUAAUGGGGAAAUGAUGAACACAGAGGAUAAAUGACUGACUCUAGGUUAUGCCAUGAUUAUCAGUGAAAGAGAGUAAGUUUCAAAAUAAUGGUAGUGCACUUUAAAAACAAUUAGACCAUCCUUUUCAGGAAGCAACAUAGUAUAGAAAUGAAGAACAUGGACUUUGGGGUCAUAUACACAUGAGUUUAAAGUUCUAAUUUUCUAUUUACUAACUUUGUAAUCUCUAACAAGUGGCUUAACUUCUCUGAGUUGCUGUUUUAUUUGUCAAAUGGGUAUAUUAAUACCACUAACUUUAGGAAGGUUGUUAAGUUACAUAAUGAUUUAAAGCAUUUUGUACACAGUCGGCAUUCAAGGAAUGGAAGCUCUAAUGAUUAUAUGUUGUAUGUACAAUAUAUACCAAUAGUGAAAUACUACUAAUAUGUAUAAUUAUAGUGAUCAUCCACUGUCUACUAGCAUUAAUAGGAAGAAUUAACCUUGUGAGGUGCAUGUUCUAAAAACUUAUUUUUAUUAUAAAAUUUUUCAAACAUACAUAAAAACAGAGAGAAAAGCAAAAGGCAAUUCCAUAUACCUAUUGCCCUGAAGUGUAGUAUUAACCCAAAGAUUUGAAAAUGUGCUCUGUAGAAGUUUCUUUAAGUGGCUUAUUGUUUACAGCUAUUGCUUUUUCUUUUUCUUUUUCUUUUUUUAAAUAGGGCUUUAUUUAAGUCUGUUGCUAUUUUAUGACCUGAAACUUGGUGUGCUAUUUGGAAAAUGCAGUUGUUUCACAGAAGUUUAGUUUUUAUUCAUAUGGCUUUUAAAUAUUUGAAACUGAAUUUUCACCAGGAUUUUUGUAUAAGAGUAUACAUUAAAUGGAGAUCUGCAGUAAGACAAUGGGACUGUUAUAAUUAUUUGUUCAUAUGUGUUGAAUAAAAAGAAUUUCUAGAUUAUUAAGAAAAAUGCCAUCAUGAUCAGAUAGUGAGUUAGCUGUAUUAGAAGUGCAUUGGUCCUUUUAUUACCAUGUAGUCAGAUCUAGUACAUUGAGACUUUAAUUUCUUUCCUUAUCUCUUUUUUUCUCUUCUUGAUUUAAACUUAAAACUUUUUUUGAAAGUUGUACAAAUUAUACAUUCUUCUUAAAGUUUCAAACAACAAAGAAAUACAGAAUAAUAAUAAAAGUAUCCAUUCCAGGAUGUCUACAUGUGUGUUCUUUAGAAAAGUCUGUUAAAGCAUAUAUAUAUAUUUUUAAAGAAUUUUAAGGGAGUUUAUUGCCAGAAAGUGCCAGCAUCUGAAAAGAGAACCAUAAAUGCUCCUAAGCAAAGGUAAUCACCAUCCUUUCAAAAUAUGCCAACAGGCAGAGAGGUGCCAAAGCAAUGUAGUUCCAGAAAGGGAGUCUUCCUCCUGCUUCCUUGAGGUGUGGCAGGAAGGUCCUCAAAAUCAGGCUGUCCCCUAAGGACUUCAUUCUAAUACAGAGCAGGAAGUCACUUCACCUUUCCAUGGCCCUUCUCCUUCUCCAUCUUUCACAUGGAAGAUCUUUUGGUGAUAAUGAUAUUGUUUAUCCUUUCCUGUGUAUUGUGAGCUUGUUGGGAUGAUCACAUUCAUCAUUUAGCUGGACCAUUUACCAUUUGCUGGACCAUGAGGAGCCACAUUUGAAACCCACCAAGAGGAAUUCACAGCCCAUGGAGAUCUUAAACUCAGAGCACAAUUCAGAAACUGGACGUGAUUUUGGUGUCUUUCUUUGAGAAGAGGAUGAUACAUUUUCAGUUGGGCAUAGGUAUUUGAAUGAGAUUAGAUGUGCCAUUUUUGGAAUUAGAUAUAUGGAAAAAAGAAAGUGUGUGGAUGUGGGCACUGAAGAAGGUGGUUAAUAAUGAAUAAUACGUUUUUCACGUUAUGGUAUGUCUGGAUUGGUUUCAUGAUACUUAAUUUCCCAGUAUAAAUUUUCUUAUUUAUUUAUUUAUUUAUGGCUGUGUUGGGUCUUAGUUGUGGCA